GUGUAUGGCCAUGCCACUCCGAUCAAGCCCAAUGUCUGAUCUCGGAAGCUAAGCAGGGUCAGGCCUGGUUAGUACUGGGAUGAGAGAUCAGCAAGGAAAACCAGGUGCUGUAGGCA
rnacentral:rRNA from 1 species